CUAUAACCAAAAUAGUUCAAGAGAUACACACACAUAAUGAAAGCCUGCAUUUUUCUCUUUCAUUUUGCUAUCCCAAUGAGAGUUGUUUGACGCCAAUGUCGAUCGACGGCUUUAGGGCUGACCGCCGACCUCUUGACCCUGGCCUUUCUCCUCCCCAAGUCUUCACUGUCCUUCCUUCUCUUGUUUCAGCAUUGCUCUCCUUUCUCAUUUUCCAUUUUUCUACUUUUGCUUCUUCACCUCCGCCCAUUUCUUCCAUCAACCUUGCAGUCGUCGCUUCCCUGAGAACAUGGUCGGCUUAGCUCCAGUCACCAUGUUGUCCUCUCCUGCCUUUUUCUUUCACAUUUUCCAUUCUCCUUUGCUUUAAAGUUCUUAUUUAUGUUGGUGUAUGUUGGUGUUUUUCGUCAGGAUCUUUUGUGGGCU
rnacentral:lncRNA from 1 species